GGAAGGAUCAUUAAAGAGACGUUGCCCUUCGGGGUAUACCUCCCACCCUUUGUUUAUUAUACCUUUGUUGCUUUGCGGGCCCGUCCUCGGACCACCGGCUUCGGCUGGUCAGCGCCCGCCAGAGGACCUAAAACUCUGUUUGUUCAUAUUGUCUGAGUACUAUAUAAUAGUUAAAACUUUCAACAACGGAUCUCUUGGUUCUGGCAUCGAUGAAGAACGCAGCGAAAUGCGAUAAGUAAUGUGAAUUGCAGAAUUCAGUGAAUCAUCGAAUCUUUGAACGCACAUUGCGCCCCCUGGUAUUCCGGGGGGCAUGCCUGUUCGAGCGUCAUUACAACCCUCAAGCUCUGCUUGGUAUUGGGCUCUGCCGGUCCCGGCAGGCCUUAAAAUCAGUGGCGGUGCCAUUCGGCUUCAAGCGUAGUAAUUCUUCUCGCUUUGGAGGCCCGGGUGCGUGCUUGCCAGCAACCCCCAAUUUUUUCAGGUUGACCUCGGAUCAGGUAGGGAUACCCGCUGAACUUAAGCAUAU
rnacentral:rRNA from 2 species